rnacentral:lncRNA from 1 species
AGAUAUAUUUUGCAGAUAGUAUUAACGGGACUUGACAGAAGAAGACAGUGUUGGAUUUUGAGCCUAGGUGGCUGGCCUUACCUAAAGUAUGGAAUAUGCAAGCCCCCAGACUUUUAAACCCAGGAGGCCUUGAGUCUGAGCUGUGUAUAAGGCAUGCAGGCAGAGAUAUUAUCCAUGGACUGCAUUGAGGUUGGGACUUGGUAGAGAGUACAGGUAGAAUAAAGACUGGAGCCAUCCACAGGAGGAAAAUGAUAGUGCAAGAUUGUAUGGAGAGCGGACACUAAGGACACAGCACAUUGUUUCUAUUUAUGUGCCAUAAAGGAGGAGUCGUUCUUUCAAAUCAUUGUACUUAUUUUCAUUUCAUUUUAUUUGCCCAUGAAUUCUUUUUCCAAACCCCUCAAGUGUCUGGUUGAUUUUCCAGAAUCCAUCAUCCUCCAAACCCAAGACAAGAACCUGUUCUCAUUAUUCUGUAUCAUUUCCAUUGUCCAUUUGUAGUAAUUGUUACAUAUGGAUAAUCCACCACUACUUUUUUUUUUUAAGUGCUGGGGAUGAUACCCAAAGCCUCCACAUGCUAGACAAGUGUUCUAUCACUGAGCUACACCCUGGCAACCCAUCCUCUUUCCUUAAGUGGGGUUUCUUUAACAAAAAGUAACAAAAAGUUAGAACAUGUUGUAGCCUUCACCUUCAUCCUUUAAUUAUGCCACAAACAGGAGAAUGGAAGACACCGUCUUACCAUGUUCACAUCAGAAUUAUCCUAGGAGCUGGGCAUGGUGGUGUCCUCCUGUAAUGCCAGCAGCUGGGGAAGCUGAGGCUGGAGGACUGUGAGUUCAAAGCCAGCCUCAGCAAAAGAGAGGU